CCUACGGGAGGCAGCAGUGAGGAAUAUUGGUCAAUGGGCUUACGCCUGAACCAGCCAAGUCGCGUGAGGGAAGACUGCCCUAUGGGUUGUAAACCUCUUUUGUCAGGGAGCAAUUGGCGCUACGUGUAGCGUUAUCGAGAGUACCUGAAGAAAAAGCAUCGGCUAACUCCGUGCCAGCAGCCGCGGUAAUACGGAGGAUGCGAGCGUUAUCCGGAUUUAUUGGGUUUAAAGGGUGCGUAGGCGGAAUGCCAAGUCAGCGGUAAAAUCGCGGGGCUCAACCUCGCUCCGCCGUUGAAACUGGCGCUCUUGAGUGGAAGAGAAGUAUGCGGAAUGCGUGGUGUAGCGGUGAAAUGCAUAGAUAUCACGCAGAACCCCGAUUGCGAAGGCAGCAUGCCGGCUUCCUACUGACGCUGAAGCACGAAAGCGUGGGGAUCGAACAGGAUUAGAUACCCUAGUAGUC
rnacentral:rRNA from 1 species